GAUGGAAUCUUCUUUCAAUAAUGUUGGUGUUACGAUAAAGCAGAAGAAAAGUUCCAUCAAAGUGGAGUCGUUUUUUAAAACAAAUUUGGAAAAUACAGUUGAAUGAUAUAUUAUUAAGACAGUAUUUCGUUUGUCCUGUGUAAAGAAUGUGGGAUAUGACAGUAAAUGACAAUUUUUUCGUUUCAGUGAUGACGAACAUAUCACAUCAAUGUCAGAAUUCAGCGUCUAUAAAGAAACUCCUCGGAGUAAAAUAUUUUUAAUAAUUCGAUAUCGAAACCAUCCUCAGUCGUUCGGGCUGGAAUACACAAGCGGUCGGCUGAGAAAUUACUCGUCUCCUGACAGGGAAACAUUAUUGGCUGGUUUGCUAGACGGUGUUAGAGCCAGUUGAAACAUAGAUGUUUGCGUAAAAACGACCCCAACGAAGAGAAGUACUGUACGCUUAUUCAUAGAUGAUUGAGCGAAAAUUAUGGUCAAAAUUUUCCUGAUGAAAAUCUCGUACUGCUAUGAUUACCCUAAAUACGAUCCCUCAUUUCAUUCUCCUGCUGACGUAUGUGAUCUCAUAUAACACACCAACAAUUACACUUCU